rnacentral:rRNA from 1 species
UACAGGACGGUCCGAGCGUUGUUCGGAUUCACUGGGCGUAAAGGGUGCGUAGGUGGUGAGGUAAGUCGGAUGUGAAAUCUCCGGGCUUAACCCGGAAACUGCAUUGGAAACUACCUUGCUGGAGGGUUGAGGGGGGACUGGAAUUCUCGGUCGUAGCAGUGAAAUGCGUAGAUAUCGAGAGGAACACCGGUGGCGAAGGCGAGUCCCUGGUUAACACUGACGCUCAGGCACGAAAGCGUGGGGAGC